rnacentral:misc_RNA from 1 species
CCGAGUUUACAACUCCCAAACCCCUGUGAACAUACCUAUCGUUGCUUCGGCGGGACCGCCCCGGGCCUUCGUGCCCGGAACCAGGCGCCCGCCGGGGACCACAAACUCUUGUAUUUUUUGGAAUCUUCUGAGUGAAAAAACAAAUGAAUCA